rnacentral:rRNA from 1 species
GAUGAACGCUGGCGGCGUGCCUAAUACAUGCAAGUCGAGCGAACAGACGAGGAGCUUGCUCCUCUGACGUUAGCGGCGGACGGGUGAGUAACACGUGGAUAACCUACCUAUAAGACUGGGAUAACUUCGGGAAACCGGAGCUAAUACCGGAUAAUAUAUUGAACCGCAUGGUUCAAUAGUGAAAGACGGUUUUGCUGUCACUUAUAGAUGGAUCCGCGCCGCAUUAGCUAGUUGGUAAGGUAACGGCUUACCAAGGCAACGAUGCGUAGCCGACCUGAGAGGGUGAUCGGCCACACUGGAACUGAGACACGGUCCAGACUCCUACGGGAGGCAGCAGUAGGGAAUCUUCCGCAAUGGGCGAAAGCCUGACGGAGCAACGCCACGUGAGUGAUGAAGGUCUUCGGAUCGUAAAACUCUGUUAUUAGGGAAGAACAAAUGUGUAAGUAACUAUGCACGUCUUGACGGUACCUAAUCAGAAAACCACGGCUAACUACGU